AAUGAGGGAUCUCAAUUAGCUCAAGAGUUCUUUUCAGAGUACAGGUUCGGAGCUUCAGGAGCCAGGGUCUCCUCAACUCUGUGUCGGCUGCCAAGGAGGGUAGGCCAGCUAACUUGUUGCCUUUGGUCUCGUGUGCUGCAUUCCAGAGUCUUACUAAUGGUCGCUUUAUGAAGAUGAGCCCCUCUUCACCUGGUACCAGGAUGCAGGCAACGACUUGUCCCCUCACCAACAGGCUGGGAUCUGCAAGGCCUCAUCAGUGGUAAGACGCUCUUGGCCCUGGAAAAGGACUGGACUUCAAUGCCCAGGAAGAGACAUGCCAGGUAUUUUUGAAAGAUGAUGGGAAUGAAAUACACACCCUAAUUUUGAAAAGAUGACUGCCCAUUGAUGCCUGCACAUGAAGACAAUUGAAGGAUGCUUGUGUGUUGUGUCUAUAGUCUAAGGAACUAGAGGGAGGCGGUGUGACAAAACCCACGGGGGACCUGCAGUCUGCCACUAUGCACCUUGAAUUGAUACAGGCAAUGGAAGACAUGCUUUCUUCUUUUCUUUAGACAUAAGUUCUCUAUAGGCAGCCCAGGCUGGUCUUUCUUCUGCAUCAGUGAUGGGGAACUCCUGUGUAUAUGUCAAUAAAGCACUGUUGGCCAAUAGGGAAGCAAGAUAGGUGGGACUAGGAGUCAAGCAGAAUUCUGGGAAGGAGAAACACAGGGAGU